AGUGAACGCUGGCGGUAGGCCUAACACAUGCAAGUCGAACGGCAGCACAGUAAGAGCUUGCUCUUACGGGUGGCGAGUGGCGGACGGGUGAGGAAUACAUCGGAAUCUACUUUUUCGUGGGGGAUAACGUAGGGAAACUUACGCUAAUACCGCAUACGACCUACGGGUGAAAGCAGGGGAUCUUCGGACCUUGCGCGAUUGAAUGAGCCGAUGUCGGAUUAGCUAGUUGACGGGGUAAAGGCCCACCAAGGCGACGAUCCGUAGCUGGUCUGAGAGGAUGAUCAGCCACACUGGAACUGAGACAAGGUCCGGACUCCUACGGGAGGCAACAGUGGGGAAUAUUGGACAAUGGGCGCAAGCCUGAUCCAGCCAUACCGCGUGGGUGAGAAAGGCCUUCGGGUUGUAAAGCCCUUUUGUUGGGAAAGAAAAGCAGCAGGUUAAUACCCCGCUGUUCUGACGGUACCCAAAGAAUAAGCACCGGCUAACUUCGUG
rnacentral:rRNA from 1 species